rnacentral:rRNA from 1 species
AGAGUUUGAUCAUGGCUCAGAAUCAACGCUGGCGGCGUGCCUCAGACAUGCAAGUCGAACGAUUAAAGCUCUCUUCGGAGAGUGUAUAGAGUGGCGUACGGGAGAGUAACACGUAAGUAAUCUACCCUUGGGUGGGGAAUAACUUAGGGAAACCUAAGCUAAUACCGCAUAAUGCAGCGGCUCCGUAAGGAGACAGUUGUUAAAGCAUUUAUGUGCCUAAGGAGGAGCUUGCGGCAGAUUAGCUAGUUGGUAAAGUAACGGCUUACCAAGGCGACGAUCUGUAGCCGGUCUAAGAGGACGGUCGGUCUCACUGACACUGAAUAACGGGUCAGACUCCUACGGGAGGCAGCAGUCGGGAAUUUUGCGCAAUGGGGGAAACCCUGACGCAGCAACGCCGCGUGAAGGAUGAAGUCUUUCGGGAUGUAAACUUCGAAAGUAUAGGAAGAAUCAAUGACGGUACUAUACAUAAGCUCCGGCUAACUACGUGCCAGCAGCCGCGGUAAUACGUAGGGGGCAAGCGUUGUUCGGAUUUACUGGGCGUAAAGGGUGCGUAGGCGGCGCGACAAGUUACUUGUGAAAUCUCCGGGCUUAACUCGGAACGGCCAAGUAAAACUGUUGUGCUAGAGUACAGAAAGGGUAACUGGAAUUCUUGGUGUAGCGGUGAAAUGCGUAGAUAUCAAGAGGAACACCUGAGGCGAAGGC